GGUACUUGGAGAGAUAGUAGACCGUAUAGCGUACGCUUUAUCUGUGACGUAUGUAACACGGUCCACUAACCCUCAGUAUC
rnacentral:pre_miRNA from 10 species